GAUGAACGCUGGCGGCGUGCCUAAUACAUGCAAGUCGAGCGAACAGACGAGGAGCUUGCUCCUCUGACGUUAGCGGCGGACGGGUGAGUAACACGUGGAUAACCUACCUAUAAGACUGGGAUAACUUCGGGAAACCGGAGCUAAUACCGGAUAAUAUAUUGAACCGCAUGGUUCAAUAGUGAAAGACGGUUUUGCUGUCACUUAUAGGUGGAUCCGCGCCGCAUUAGCUAGUUGGUAAGGUAACGGCUUACCAAGGCAACGAUGCGUAGCCGACCUGAGAGGGUGAUCGGCCACACUGGAACUGAGACACGGUCCAGACUCCUACGGGAGGCAGCAGUAGGGAAUCUUCCGCAAUGGGCGAAAGCCUGACGGAGCAACGCCGCGUGAGUGAUGAAGGUCUUCGGAUCGUAAAACUCUGUUAUUAGGGAAGAACAGAUGUGUAAGUAACUAUGCACGUCUUGACGGUACCUAAUCAGAAAGCCACGGCUAACUACGUG
rnacentral:rRNA from 1 species